rnacentral:lncRNA from 1 species
ACUAAUUGUUUUUUAAAUCAUCUUAUUAAAAACUUUUACAGAAACUUAAAAAUGCAUUACAACGCAAUAAUAAACACACAAAACAACUAAUAAACCACACAUAACUUGAUUAAUACAAUAGACAUAACUUAUACAAACAAUAAAACUUUCAGAUCACACAGAGAUAUCAAAUCUCUUUAAUCAUGGAUUACUCGUGAAUUUGAUUACAAUAAAACUUUCAGAUCACACAGAGAUAAAAAAAAUGAUUUCUGCAUGAAACUCCAUCCCGGGGAGGAUCAAAUGAGCAAUGUUGAUUACACUACUCAGCGAUUUUUCCCCAGUACGAUUCACUUUUUUGAUUUAUACCAACAAUGUUGUCUGUUCCAUAUUUUAUCCAGCCACUCAACAAUACCAAAUUUUGAUCAGUGCUCCAUUUAGGGCUCUUUCGGCGAGUACGAGCUGAAUCUUCUGCAUGUGGAGUGGCUUCGUUAACACCUCAUGUACCUC